AGGGCGCAGGGCGAAUGCCUUGGCACCAGGAGCCGAAGAAGGACGUGGUAAGCUGCGAAAAGCUGCGGAGAGCUGCAAACGAGCGAUGAACCGCAGAUGUCCGAAUGGGGCAACCCACAUGGAGUCAUGUCCAUGUACCAUACGCUGAAUCCAUAGGCGUAUGGGGGGAACCACCUGAACUGAAACAUCUAAGUAGGGUGAGGAAAAGAAAUCAACCGAGAUACCGCAAGUAGCGGCGAGCGAACGCGGCAGAGGCCAAACCGGAAGCAGAAAUGCUUUCGGGGUUACGGACUGUCAAAAGAGGCUGGAAGAUAGCCGAAAUGCAUGGGAAGGCAUAUCGGAGAGUGUGAGAAUCACGUAGGCGAAAUCGAAAAGCCGCGGACAGGAUCCAGAGUACAGCGGGACACGUGAAACCCCGUUGGAAGUAGGGGGGACCACCCUCCAAGCCUAAACACUACCUGGUGACCGAUAGAGGAAAGUACUGUGAAGGAACGGUGAAAAGGACCCCGGGAGGGGAGUGAAAGAGAACCUGAAACCCUGUGCCUACAAGCACAUAGAGCCCGUCAAAGGGUGAUAUGGUACUUUUUGUAGAACGGUCCGGCGAGAGCGUGUAUGCAGCGAGGUUAAGGACUUAAGGUCCGCAGCCGAAGCGAAAGCGAGUCUGAAAUGGGCGCAAAGUUGCAUGCAUGAAGCCCGAAACCGAGUGACCUAUCCAUGGUCAGGCUGAAGUGGGGGUAAAACCCCAUGGAGGGCCGAACGCACUCCCGUUGAAAUGGUAGGCGAUGAACUGUGGAUAGCGGAGAAAUUCCAAUCGAACUCGGAGAUAGCUGGUUCUCCCCGAAAUAGCUUUAGGGCUAGCCUCAAUGAUCAUUACUGGAGGUAAAGCACUGAAUUGGGAAGGGGUCGAGAGAUUACUGAACCAUAUCAAACUAAGAAUGCCAGAUAAUGUAACAUUGGGAGUCAGACAGUGUCAGAUAAGUGUCAUUGUCGAGAGGGAAACAGCCCAGACCCACAGCUAAGGUCCCAAAGUAUGGUUAAGUGGAAAAGGAUGUGGAAUUGCAUAAACAACCAGGACGUUGGCUUAGAAGCAGCCACACAUUUAAAGAGUGCGUAAUAGCUCACUGGUCUAGUGAAUCUGCGCCGAAAAUGUAACGGGGCUAAACCAUACACCGAAGCUUGGGCAUCCGCAAGGAUGGGUAGGGGAGCGUCGUAUUCUGGGGUGAAGUCAGAGCGAAAGCGCUGGUGGACUGAAUACGAGUGAGAAUGCCGGAAUGAGUAGCGAGAAUAGAGUGAGAAUCUCUAUGGCCGAAAACCUAAGGAUUUUGGAGGAAGGCUCGUCCGCUCCAAGUUAGCCGGGGGCUAAGGCGAGGCCGAAAGGCGUAGUCGAUGCACAUACGGUGGACAUUCCGUAGCCGCCGAAAGAUUUAAACUAAGGGACACUUCUGGGAAGGAUGACCCGGGCGUUGGUUGACCCGGGCGAAAGGGACCGAAAACUAAGUAGGGAAGCAUCUGGAACGGGAGGCGAGAAAAGCUUAGUGAAUAUCUAAGGCGCCCGUACCGCAAACCGACACAGGUAGGAAGGAAGAGGAUUCUAAGGCCAACGGGAGAAGGGUUGUUAAGGAACUCGGCAAAUUGACCCCGUAACUUCGGAAUAAGGGGUGCUCUCCUCACGAGAUGAGGGAGCCGCAGAGAAUAGAGCCAAGCGACUGUUUAUCAAAAACACAGGUCUGUGCUAAAUCGUAAGAUGACGUAUACGGGCUGACGCCUGCCCAGUGCCGGAAGGUUAAGGGGAUGUGUGAGAGCAUUGAACCGAAGCCCCGGUUAACGGCGGCCGUAACUAUAACGGUCCUAAGGUAGCGAAAUUCCUUGUCAGGUAAGUUCUGACCCGCACGAAUGGCGUAACGACUUGGUUACUGUCUCAACAGCCCGCCCGGCGAAAUUGUAGUACCGGUGAAAAUGCCGGUUACCCGCGACAAGACGGAAAGACCCCAUGGAGCUUUACUGUAACCUAAUAUUGGGUUUCGGUGUUGUAUGCACAGGAUAGGUGGGAGCCUGGGAAGGCCGGACUUUGGUCCGACUGGAGGCAACCUUGGGAUACCACCCUUAUAAUAUUGGAAUUCUAACCAACGGCCGUGAAUCCGGCCGGGGGACAUUGUUAGGUGGGCAGUUUGACUGGGGCGGUCGCCUCCAAAAAAGUAACGGAGGCGCUCAAAGGUUGGCUCAGCAUGGACGGAAACCAUGCCAUAGAGUGUAAACGCGGAAGCCAGCCUAACUGCGAGACCGACAGGUCGAGCAGUAACGAAAGUUGGAGUUAGUGAUCCGGUGGUAUGUGAGUGGAAAUGCCAUCGCUCAACGGAUAAAAGUUACCCUGGGGAUAACAGGCUGAUCUCCCCCAAGAGUCCACAUCGACGGGGAGGUUUGGCACCUCGAUGUCGGCUCAUCGCAUCCUGGGGC
rnacentral:rRNA from 1 species